rnacentral:lncRNA from 1 species
UGCAACAAAAUGUCCAACGUAAAAUGUAGGUUCUGUCGGUCGAGGAAGCGUUAUGGCCUCACUACCCAACAUGGCAACAACAGUUGACAUAGUUGGUUUGUUUUCUAGAUCUACUGGCACGUAUAAUAACCCAAUUUUAAUGCAUUUAAGCACUUCAAUUGGCACACUUGAACCAGCAAGAUGCACAUCUAUUAGUUCCAUUCCUUCAUCUUUUGACCAUAAUUUCCAUGCCUACAAUUAUUACAUAGAAUUAGCCUAAUAUAUAUAACAUAGUGUUAAUCUAUUCAUUGAAUAUAGAACAUGAAACAUACAAAUGUCAAAAGGCUUACACCACGUUGUGAGUGUUAGAGUUGUGUGACCCAAAUCCCAUCAAUUGUUAAAGAAAUAAAAUACAGUGGCAAAAUAAGGGGAUCUGUGGGAGCAAAAUGUCUCAGGCGUUUGGCUCGAGGUCAAAGCCUAAUAUAGAUUCCCAUUAAGCAUAAAACUAUAUUGAGAUUACGACAGAGGAUGCAGGAGCGAAGCCAAAGUGAUACGGACCAUGCCACACAAGUAGAAUCUGUACAGAACUACACUUCUUCUAUUCGACAUUAAUUAGAAUAGGAUUUUUCAACCACUAAAUAGAUGUAGUUGAAACUCCUCUUAUAUCAUUUGAUUUUCAACAUUAGUGAAUUUCUCUUUCUCUACCCGUGGUUUUUCCUGAAAGGGUUUUUCGCAUAAAAUCUGUGUAUUUUAUUUUUCUUUUCUUAUUAUUUUAAGAUCGUUCUAUUACCAUUAUCGACGUUAGUUUUAACAGUAAGAGAUGAAACUGUUAUUUCUUUUUCCACUUAUAAUCUCCAACAAAAGGAUUCAAAAACUAAAAACAUCUUAUUUGAUAGAAAAGAGUCAUUCCAUAGCAUACUUGGGUGCCAUGUAUCCACUAUUUUAGCCCAUAAAAAUCAAAGAAAGAUUAAAAAAAGAUUAAAUAAUCAUAAAUAACUUCAAAACUAUUCUUCAAUGUGUAUCAAUCAAAUAAAAGAUACAUUCAAUAAUAAACCAUGUUGGUUUUGUUAACUACUAACCAUGAAACAUACACUAAUUCAUUACUUGCACAUGAUCCUUCUAACUUGCAUGACUUUGAUGUAGAGGAUGAAUCUUUUUUUUUUCUUUUAACAAGUUAAAUGUUAAUUCUUUGAAGAUUUUGAUAUAUCUCGUUAAGCUGAAAUUGGAAACAAUAAAGAAUAAAAUGUCAAAUUACAAAAGAAACAUUAACUCCAUAGUUUUGAGACAACAAGUUGGGAAGAAUCCAUAAGACCUACUAUGUUCCGAUUACUCUUUUUGUAUUUGCUUCAUUUUGAUCUAUACAAAAAAAUGUUGCCAUACCAAAGUCUUAAUUUUUUGUAUUCAUCUCAUGAUCAAGUAAAAUAUUACUUGCUUUAAGGUUUCUGUGGAUAACUCUAACAUAAGCAGCCUCAUGCAAAUACAUGAUACCUCGAGCAAUUCCAUUAAUAAUAUUAAAUCACUUUUUUCAAGAUAGUUGUGUAGCCAAACUUGAAUUUAAUAAACACUCCAAAAAAAAGAGAGAGAAAAAGAAAUUACUAGUUAAAUAUUCAAAUUCAUUCGGUUGUAUAAAGAAAAUGUUGGUAUUUAAAGGUUUAAGGCUCAAACCAAAUAGGAACAUGUCAAGGCUUCUAUUGGGCAUGAAUUCAUACACAAGUAACUUUUCAUUUUCCUCUAAGAAACAUCCUAAGAGCCUCACAAAUUGUAAUUUGGCAAUUAACUUGAGUUCAAUUUUGAACUCAAGCAGCCCUUUGAUUAGUAACUGCAAUUUUGUUUCCAUUUGCUAGUUUGUCCUAACCGAAUCUUUCGGCAUUUAAAAUAGAGGUAUUUCACAUCUAUAAAUUUGGAAAACCCCAAAAAAAAUCUUCCAACUAACAAGUCGUUUCCCGAGCCAAUUCCUAAUACCAAUGAGUUUAUCUUGAAAUUUUAUUUCAUUUUAUUUCAUUAGUUUUCUUCUAAAUAUAAUAAUUUUAUAACCCUUUGAUUUAUAAAAUUUUGGCUAAAAAAUGGAAAAACCUUAAAAAAAGCACUUUAGAAUUACUCUUGUUGUCAACAUAAUGAUAUUUCCUUCAAGGUACAUAGAAAUAGUUUCCGAACUUAGUCCUUGAAAUUGGAAAGUAAAUUCAAAGUUAAAAAAUAUGGCUUUAAAUAAUCCAAUUGUUCAAUCAAUAAUUAUAUAAGAAAAAUUAUGAACAUUUAAUUUUUCAUAAGAAAAAAGUGUGAAAGAACUAAUUGAAUUUCCUUUUGGUACAUUGAUAACGAUUUUUUAAAAUUUAUGAACUAAUUAAGAGACUAUUAUGUGUUCUAUUUAUUUUUAAUUAUUUGCUUUUAAAUUUUAAAUCUGCAAUAAGCAAUGUGUAUCACUAAUAAUCUGAUUUUGUGUCAAAUCGUUUACCAAAUUAAUUAAAAACUAAAGUUAUGCUAGUCAAAGUGAAAAAAAAAUAUUUUUUUUACAAAUAUAAAAUUAUUUUUAUAAUUUUAUUAUAUAUUAUAUUUUAAAUUUUGUAUUUUCUAUUAUUUUAAUAGUGUUUAGUUAAGUUCAAUCACUAACUUAAAGAAAAAAAAGUUAUAUAUCGAAUUAGAUCAUUUCAACAAUAAAUGAAACACUUGAUAGAUUAGGAAUGCCUCUAUUUUAAAAGUUGAAAAGUUUGGUUAGGAUGUUUGAGGAUCAAAUUGAUUGAAUUUGUAAAUGUGAAGGGUUAUAUUUAUUGAAUUAUUUAUAAUUAAGAUCAAAUUGAUAGGAUAUGUAAGUAGUGAGGAUUAAAUGUGUUAUUAUACUAGUUAGAGAAAGUCUUUCCAUUAUUAAUUUAAUUGUGGGUGACCAAAAUAAAAACAAAUUGAAACAUUAAUACCUAAAUUGAAAACUUUUAAAGUGAGAUGGUCAGGAGAAGAACAAAUAUAUUUAGUUGACUAUUUGUAUGACUUACCCAUUUAUUUUAUAUUUAUUUUUAUGAAAUUAUAUUUUAUGUAUUGUUUGUGCAUAAAUCCUAUACACCGUUAGUGAUUCAUAAUUUGUCACCUCAUUGAUGAACAAAAUAAAAAAUAUUAAAGGACUUAUAAAUAAAUAGCCAGAAAUGUAUUAAAAUUAUAAAUCUUCAAAACAUUGUCUCUUUAUUCAAAUCUCAUCUCAACCAAGAAGGCAAAUGUAGAACCCGAAAAUCGGUAUGCUUGACGAGGGACCACCGUCCUCCACCAUGGUACCGCCGUUCUCCAAUGACUGCAACAACUCUUUGAGCAAACAUCACUAAUUCUUUUUAGGGAUAUUUAUUUUAGUUCCUUCCUUACGAAAACCCCCCAACUGCUUCACCAAUUUCAUCUAAUGAUUUCCUCGGCCAUUCUCGCUCAAUAACUUUGUGGUCAUUUUGGAGGCCAUCACUCUUUCUUCGCUGCAGCUAGAGGUUAAAAAUCCCAUCCAGCAAGUUUAAAUUUCCUGACGAACUCAUGGUCAUUGAUUUUUUCGAUAAAUACUCGAUGACAAUCACGGAUUUGUCAUGCUUUGUAACAAGAGAAGGUUAAGAUCGGAGUCGAUUGUGGUAAAACUGCUCUUAACAACAGAGAGAGCCGUCACUCUAAACAUUAGAAAACACUUGAAAACUCACACUCUUGAGUUACAUUUGAAAGGAAAACGGUGGUAUAGUUUAAUUAGGGUUGACUCCAACUGAAGAUAAAUGCUUCAUCUCCAUAAUUUUUGAAAACUGCAUUAACAAAAACAAAAUAAUACCAAAUUAUAAACUUUUAAAAUAAGAAGAAAGAAAAAGAGAGGUUGUGGAGGAAAAUGACGAGGCACAAUCUUCCAAGUCUGAAAUGUGAAGAUUUUGGUAAGGGUUUUCAGAGAUAAAUAAGGCGACGAUGUGCGAGUGCCACAUUAUCACUUUUUAAUAUUAAAAUGUGUGACUGAAAUUCAAAUUUGAGAAUUAAUGUAAGUAUCAAAUUAGAAAAAAUUAUCAAAUCCAUCAAUUAACAUACGUAAAAAAAAACAACAACAAAAAUCAUUACAAUAUAAUGAAAGAAAAUCUCUAGUUGUUUUAUUGAAAAGUUGCAAAACGUUUAGUAUUUUACAUCCAAUAUAAAAUAGCAUAUUAACAAUUUUUGAAAAGCAUCAUGCAAUAACUAAUCAAUCAUCGAGUUGAAAUGUUUGAAAUCGUAACCUCAUUAACAGAAAAUAUUCUAUCAGUGAAACUGAGUUGAAUUGGUUCUGCAACAAAAUGUCCAACGUAAAAUGUAGGUUCUACUGGUAGAGGAAGCGUUAUGGUCUCACUUCCCAACAUGGCAACGACAGUUGACAUAGUUGGUCUAUUUGCUGGAUCUACUUGCACACACAAUAAACCAAUCUGAAUGCAUUUAAGCACUUCUGUUGGCACACUUGAACCAGCAAGAUGCUCGUCUAUUAGUUCCAUUCCUUCACCUUUUGACCAUAAUUUCCAUGC